CCUACGGGUGGCAGCAGUAGGGAAUAUUGCUCAAUGGGGGAAACCCUGAAGCAGCAACGCCGCGUGGAGGAUGAAGGUUUUCGGAUUGUAAACUCCUUUUGUUAGAGAAGAGAAUGACGGUAGCUAACGAAUAAGCACCGGCUAACGCCGGGCCAGCAGCCGCGGUAAUACGGAGGGUGCAAGCGUUACUCGGAAUCCCUGGGCGUAAAGGGCGCGGAGGCGGGAUAGCAAGUCAGAUGUGAAAUCCUAUGGCUUAACCAUAGAACUGCCUUUGAAACUGUUAUUCUAGAGUAUGGGAGAGGUAGGUGUAAUUCUUGGUGUCGCGGUCCACUCCGUAGAGAUC
rnacentral:rRNA from 1 species